GGAGUCGGCCAGUGCCCGCCUCCCGGAUGCAACAUGCCGCGCAAGGGGAAGGAAGGAAGCCUCCUAGCGAGGCGAGGCAGAAACGCACGGGGUGGCCGUAGGGCAAAGCAAAUAAACACAUCGACGCCGGUGGGCUUUUAGGUCCCGAAAAGACUCUCUUAAACCCCGCAACGUCAAGGACUUUCCAGCAUCCGAAAGCUUCAGAGGCUGCCUGGCGUGAGCCGAGCAGCCGCUUCGCUCCUCUUUUUGCGGCCGCAACGGACUCUGCUCAGGCUCGUGUUUGGCUGGGGCGGCGAGGCAGGAGAGCGAAGGGCGGGGCCGCCCAAGGGCCUCCCAGCAGAGCGCUGGAGAUGCACACUUUUCUUUCUUGGGAGCCACGGCGGGGGCAAGAGACUGUAACGGACUUGCCCGCUUCGGUCCUUUUCGCUUCCCCCACCCCGUCCCGGGUACAUACAAGCACAUACCGAGUUGGACACCGCACCUCCCCCUACCGUUGCAAGGAGCUUUCUCAAACAAAUCAAGGGAGCCCGUGCCCCAAAACCGCACAACUAAACGCACCCAACUGCUGUUGCGAUCAACAGAGGACCCCCGGCUGAAGGAAACAGGCAGCGCGGUCGAGAGAGGCCCGAAAAGGGGGAGGCUUAAACCAACAAUGCCCGUCGCAAAGGGGCGUCCCUACCACACGAGGAAACCAGCCUCCCUUGGCUUCCCGCUUUCCUUACCUUCUUCGCUGGUGGGGUCCAUUUCUGCAGCCAUCGCCCUCAGGGCUCUCUCGCGGUCGCUUUCGCCGUUGGGGGCGUGCCAAGAAGGGGGAAAGGAACGUCGGGGGACUACCCGCUGCAGCGCAACCGGCUCGCUGCCCGCCCCGUCCUACCUCCGCCCUUUCAGGCGCUCGGUUUUUUUCUCAGCUGCAUUCCGCCCGCCCGCGCCUGAUAUAGGGCGGGUUCCCGUUCGCUUCCACGUCAGCCAGACAGGCAGCAGAGCCACCUGACCGCCUGCCUGACUCCGCCGCGGGUAGGUGCGCUGCAGGUGUGUGAGGUGCAAAGGAUGGAGCCCAGCUCCAUUUUAUUUCUGGGUCUUCUCUAAGAGAGGCAAUGCUGGUGUAAAAACAUAGCAGGUGUCCAAGAGUAAUCGUGCCGGGCUUUGUGUGUGAGAGAGUGACUUUGAAUACAAUGCUCUUUCAAGUGGGGUUUGUCCCUAAGAUGAUUUAGCCGCCACCCCCCAAAAAAAAACCAGUUGCAGAGAAUGGACUCGUUCAGUCCCAAAAGACACGGAUCAACAAUGGAGGCAACAGCAUUCCUGAGCAUGCAUAGAGUGCCUUCCCUAAUGAGUAUAUAACAUAACAUAACAUCGUGAAUCUGCCAGAAGCUAUAAAGAGCGAUGAAGGAGUAUGCUAACUUCAUCUCAUUGGACUUGCAUGACACAAUUUAUGAUGAAGCAGGACAUCUGAAAAGACAACACAGUCUCUGAAGUCAUCUAUCCUGCUGUCAUCAGAGAAAGUCCUAUAACCAAGUCUUAUGGAGAUCAAGCUUCACCAACCUGCUCACUCUUUGUUCCAAGCUUCAUGCUCUUAACUGAAAGUCCCCUUCAUCCUGCUUUCCUCAACUUCCAGCCAGCGUGGGCUUUUCCUUCCUUACAAAAAAGAAAAGAAAGAUCUAAGUUAAAUCCCAAAUCCUGAAAGCUAAGCAGUUCAUGAAAGAGAACAUAUGUGAACAUGCUUUAUAGAAUUCAUUGCUGAUGACACUAAGUUAUUUGCUGCCACUUACUGGAUAACCAUAUAUCACUACACAGUCUGGAACCUGGUUGCAAUGAAGCUUGCAGACGUCUGAAGAUAUCAGAGCAAAUGUGAAGGUGAAAAGGCUUACUUAAACUUCUCUGCUCACUGAAGAGCAAGAUUUUUGUUAAUAUGUUACUGCUACCACCUUAAAUCACUCUGAACAAAAACAACACCCUCUUCUUUCUCCCUGCUGCCAGCCACUCAUAUUUCAUCAUGACCCCAACUGAAAGAAAUCUCUUCUAUCUGUUUUUCGGGGUGCAAUGCAGGGUAGGGAGCCCAGCCUCCACAAUUAUUUUAAUGAUGCAUGCUCCCCUCCGCCACCUCUAGUUGUUAUUGUCUUUGGGUCUCAGUAUAUUUAAACUUUC